UUCUCUGUCAAAGCGAGACAGCUUUGUAUUAAAAUCCAAAGAAGUUUCAAAGUUUGGACUGAAAUUUGACAAAAGAAUUUCCACUUUCAUCACCUUUUUCUUAAAAUCAUGGUUCUGACAGAAGCAUUUCUUUCACCUGUUGGCAGCAAGACAGUAUUUUCCUACUAAAAGAUGGGUAUUAAUCUACUAUAGUGGUGGUUUAGUGAUUCUUGGAGAAGCUUGGAAUGGUUUAGAGUGAUUUUCUGGUUUUAAUGCUAUUUUUUUCUACCUGGAAAUCAGCAAGACCACGGCGAGGGAAGGGCAUUGCUGGCCUUUGGCUCCAAACCCUGGUGGAUCUGGUGGCCCUGUCCUGGGCAACUUCUGCUCUUCCCUUCUGAACAGAGUCUGAACUGGGGCAGUUUCUUACAACCCAAGUUCAAAGUUUAGUAGAGGAGCUUCGACCCUCCUGCGUUAUUCUGGACAGUGUCUUGUGGAAUUUCAAAAGACAGCGUGAGUUCUGUGGCUGGUGCCUGGUACCUCGGUGAUGGUGCUCAACGUCUUCCAGAUCCACGACCUUCAUCUCUUCCACGGCAUCGGCUCCUCCACCUGAGGAAUGACUUGGAAACCACUUACAGCAGCCUUCACAUAUACAGUGCCUCAGAUUUUAUCCUUUGGGAGUGAACACAGAUUUUCUCAGAAGGAUUAUGGACAGACCUGGUGGGAGAAGAUCCGGGCUUUGUGAGGAUGCUCUGGGAUUAACAGAACCACAAAUGCAACAUCCAGAUUUCCAAUGUAAACACCGCAAGUCCCGUGGCUCCAAGGGCUUUUGUCUGCACGUCCACAUCAGGAGUGAAGUUCAGGAGAAGAGGGACAUUUUGUGACAUCUGUAAAAUGAAGAAGCCACACUUGAAUUAAUGCUUGGGAGGACACCAAGACAGGACUUCUAAACACCUAGCUCUGUGGACAAGGCAAAGCAGGGAGUUGGUGACCUCCAUUACCCUGGAGGAAGAGUGAAGGAUGGAAGGCUGUUGGGAGGGACGUUGAAGACACCAGAGAAGCUUCAUCAUCUGGAGGCAGAAUUAUGGCCAAGUCCAAAUGCAAAGGGAGCCAAUGGGUUGAAUUUUGGACAAAGAAAAGAAGGCAAGAAAAGGCCCAGAGGAAGAAAAUGCCACCUUCUUCAUGGCUGAAGGAUGAACUUGGAGUAAAUGAGGUAGGAAGGAGCAAAGCCCAAGUGACAACUGACCAACGGAAAGUUUGAUAGUGCCUGAUUGAUACUCUACUGCUGUUUUUUAGGACCUGCUCUUGGUGACAUCUUUGCUUAUCUUUCUUUCCUCUUCACAUUGUAAUCGUUGAGGCACUUAAAUGAAAUUUAAUAAAAAAGAAAUGGGAACAAAA